rnacentral:rRNA from 1 species
UACAGAGGGUGCAAGCGUUGUCCGGAAUUACUGGGCGUAAAGAGCUCGUAGGUGGUUUGUCGCGUCUGCUGUGAAAACGCGAGGCUCAACCUCGCGCCUGCAGUGGGUACGGGCAGACUAGAGUGCGGUAGGGGAGAUUGGAAUUCCUGGUGUAGCGGUGGAAUGCGCAGAUAUCAGGAGGAACACCGAUGGCGAAGGCAGAUCUCUGGGCCGUAACUGACGCUGAGGAGCGAAAGCAUGGGGAGCGAACAGG